AGUGAACGCUGGCGGUAGGCCUAACACAUGCAAGUCGAACGGCAGCACAGUAAGAGCUUGCUCUUACGGGUGGCGAGUGGCGGACGGGUGAGGAAUACAUCGGAAUCUACUUUUUUGUGGGGGAUAAGGUAGGGAAACUUACGCUAAUACCGCAUACGACCUACGGGUGAAAGCAGGGGAUCUUCGGACCUUGCGCGAUUGAAUGAGCCGAUGUCGGAUUAGCUAGUUGGCGGGGUAAAGGCCCACCAAGGCGACGAUCCGUAGCUGGUCUGAGAGGAUGAUCAGCCACACUGGAACUGAGACACGGUCCAGACUCCUACGGGAGGCAGCAGUGGGGAAUAUUGGACAAUGGGCGCAAGCCUGAUCCAGCCAUACCGCGUGGGUGAAGAAGGCCUUCGGGUUGUAAAGCCCUUUUGUUGGGAAAGAAAAGCAGCAGGUUAAUACCCCGCUGUUCUGACGGUACCCAAAGAAUAAGCACCGGCUAACUUCGUG
rnacentral:rRNA from 1 species